GAUGAACGCUAGCGGGAGGCUUAAUACAUGCAAGUCGAGCGGUAACUGACCGAUAGCAAUAUUGGUUAGCUAGAGCGGCGCACGGGUGAGUAACGCGUACAUAACCUACCCUAUACUGGGGGAUAGCCUUGGGAAACUGAGAUUAAUACCCCAUGGUAUUAUUUGGCCACCUGGUUGAAUAAUUAAAGUUGCGGCGGUAUAGGAUGGGUGUGCGUCUGAUUAGCUAGUUGGUAGGGUAACGGCCUACCAAGGCGAUGAUCAGUAGGGGGCGUGAGAGCGUGGUCCCCCACACGGGUACUGAGACACGGACCCGACUCCUACGGGAGGCAGCAGUAAGGAAUAUUGGUCAAUGGAGGAAACUCUGAACCAGCUAUCCCGCCGUGAAGGAUGAAGGGGCGUCUGCCUUGUAAACUUCUUUUUGUUCUGGGGCGGAAAAGAACUCGUUUUACGUAGUAACUGACGGUACCCAGAAGAAUAAGCACCGGCUAACUCCGUGCCAGCAGCC
rnacentral:rRNA from 1 species